GAUACUUUGUGGAAAUUAUUUGAGUGUAUCUAUGAUACUGAACCAGCACGGUCAAUCGUGAACUUCAUUUGCUCUUGUGGACUUAACCAUCAAGAAUUUUUGUUAGAAAUAGAAGGAGACAGCAGCAGCAGCAGGGUUCAAAGUAAUGAGGAACCAGAGGAAUAUCACCCUGGCUAUUUUGAUGAACAUCACUACCCUGGCUGUGCGACUUUCUACAUCUAAAGAAGCGUAGAGAUAUCUAGGGUGGAGAAGGAGCAAGGAUACAGUUAUGGAGACCUAUGCCUGGAUGUCCAUUGGGAGAGAAAUGAGAAAGCCAGAGCCUUCUUUCAGAAAG
rnacentral:lncRNA from 1 species